GUCCAGAUGGUGUAGUGGUUAACACAAUUGCCUACUUUGCAAGAGAUCCAGGUUCGAGUCCUGGUCUGGCACA